GGGCGGCGUGCCUUACACAUGCAAGUCGAGCGAGGCGGCCCGCAAGGGGUCAGUCGAGCGGCGAACGGGUGAGUAACGCGUGGAUAACCUGCCCAGAGGUGGGGGAUAACCCGGGGAAACUCGGGCUAAUACCGCAUGAUACCGAAAGGUCAAAGGGGGCUCGCAAGGGCUCUCGCCAUAGGAGGGGUCCGCGUCCGAUUAGCUAGUUGGUAGGGUAAUGGCCUACCAAGGCGACGAUCGGUAGCCGGCCUGAGAGGGUGAUCGGCCACACUGGAACUGAGACACGGUCCAGACUCCUACGGGAGGCAGCAGUGGGGAAUUUUGCGCAAUGGGCUAACGCCUGACGCAGCAACGCCGCGUGGAGGAUGAAGGUCUUUGGAUUGUAAACUCCUGUCAGCAGGGAAAAAGCGAAUCGGCCUAACACGCCGGUGAGUUGAUUGUACCUGCAGAGGAAGCCCCGGCUAACUCUGUGCCAGCAGCCGCGGUAAUACAGAGGGGGCAAGCGUUAUUCGGAAUUAUUGGGCGUAAAGGGCGCGUAGGCGGCUUCGCAAG
rnacentral:rRNA from 1 species